GUGUUAUUAAAAAGGAGAGCCGGUUAGCACUCCCCUUGACAAGGACGGAAUGGACCUUCAAGGUCUUUAUAACACAUAUGGCAUGCCCUCCUACUUCGAGGGCACCUUAUUUUUCU
rfam:Lottia gigantea unplaced genomic scaffold LOTGIsca_3, whole genome shotgun sequence.